rnacentral:rRNA from 1 species
CCUACGGGAGGCAGCAGUGGGGAAUCUUGCACAAUGGAGGCAACUCUGAUGCAGCGACGCCGCGUGAGCGAUGAAGCCCUUCGGGGUGUAAAGCUCUUUCGGCAGGGACGAUAAUGACGGUACCUGAAGAAGAAGCUGCGGCUAACUACGUGCCAGCAGCCGCGGUAAU